rnacentral:misc_RNA from 1 species
GAUGAAGAACGCAGCAAAAUGCGAUACUUGGUGUGAAUUGCAGAAUCCCGUGAACCAUCGAGUUUUUGAACGCAAGUUGCGCCCGAAGCCUUUUGGCCGAGGGCACGUCUGCCUGGGCGUCACGCAUCGCGUCGCCCCCCACAACUCUCCGUAAAGGGAACUUGUGUUUUGGGGGCGGAUAUUGGUCUCCCGUGCUCAUGGCGUGGUUGGCCGAAAUAGGAGUCCCUCCGGUGGACGCACGAACUAGUGGUGGUCGUAAAAACCCUCGUCUUUUGUUUCGUGCCGUUAGUCGCGAGGGAAACUCUUUAACAACCCAAAUGUGUCGUCUCUUGACGGCGCUUCGACCGCGACCCCAGGUCAGGCGGGACUACCCGCUGAGUUUAAGCAUAUCAAUAAGCGGAGG